CAGCAGCCGCGGGAAUACGAAGGGUGCAAGCGUUAAUCGGAAUUACUGGGCGUAAAGCGUGCGUAGGCGGUGAGUUAAGUCUGCUGUGAAAUCCCCGGGCUCAACCUGGGAAUGGCAAUGGAUACUGGCAAGCUAGGGUGUGUCAGAGGAUGGUGGAAUUCCCGGUGUAGCGGUGAAAUGCGUAGAGAUCGGGAGGAACAUCAGUGGCGAAGGCGGCCAUCUGGGACAACACUGACGCUGAGGCACGAAAGCGUGGGGAGCAAACAGGAUUAGAUACCCCAGUAGUCCCUGUCUCUUAUAA
rnacentral:rRNA from 1 species